GAAGAUGGUAAGCUGAUCUGAAGUAGGGACAGUAGCAUUUGGUCCACAUGUUGCCAUUGAUACAGGCCUGGAGCUGUUGGUCCAGGGAAGAACCCCUUCCUUGCAAGAUCCCAUGUUCUCAUCAGCUCCAUUAGUAGCAGGCAGCUCCUCGCCAGCUUUGGCCUUCACUUCCUCAUAGGAAUCAGAAUCACCCUCCAUUUGAAGAAGACCAGAGAGUAUAACCCCCAAAUUUCUUGCCUCUCUUCCUCUUGGGAAACACAAAAAACAAAGGAUUUUAAGACAAAGGAA
rnacentral:misc_RNA from 1 species